rnacentral:sRNA from 2 species
CGCACAUGUCUCCCGAUUGGGGAUGGGCUGAGCGCCAUAGUGUGGCUGGGUGACCCAAUACUAGUGAUUGUUGAAUCGUUCAAGCCCUGUUGGCAGUUCCAAUGUCCCGUCUGUACGGAGUACUAACUAAUACUUUCUAGAAAGUACUAGUAUUUUGGGAACACUCGAGGAAGUUCUGGAUGUGGGUAUGACGCAUGUCAACGCCCUUUUAACCCAAAGAACGGUCAGGUUCAUGAUAAUGCUAUUAGAGGAGAAGGUGCUUUAGUGUGAUGGAACAACCUUCCACCAGAUUGCAUGAUUCACAUAUAAAAUUGAACUUUUGCCAAUAGGUUAAAAGGAAAAUUUCCCUAAUGACCAUAUUCUCGAGUUCACAACUUAUGCCUUGAAGUUUCACAUCUGGUAGCUCGUCGGGGCCUCCCGUUCCCGUGAAUCGUGGUUUGACCUUAUGGUCCCUGUUGGUGCCAAUGGCCACCCUUAAACCGAACGACGACAGAAGAUAGCAACCACUAACUAGCAGCUUGGUUGUUGGAGACAAGAAAGAGCCUAUAUAGGAUAAUUCUAGCAUUUCAUCACUCCAUUUGCAAUUGAUUGGUUGGUUGUUAGCUAUCGUUGAUCAUGGGAUAUCAAAAAUCCUCUCUCCUACCCUGCAACUUCGUUGAACUUGGUUCAUUUGACCGGAAAUGAAUUGUAGUCGUGCCAACCUUCUUUCUCCUUUCGUCUUUUAAUUUUCCCUGUGGGCUUUCUGGCCCGUGGGUAGUUAUGUCGUCUUCCAUUUUUUUACGAGACAUCUCGUUGAAACGGGC